rnacentral:rRNA from 1 species
GACGAACUGUCCUAACGUUGUUCGGAUUCACUGGGCUUAAAGGGCGCGUAGGCGGGCGACCAAGUCGGGGGUGAAAUCUUUCGGCCCAACCGGAAAAGGGCCCCCGAUACUGGAUGCCUCGAGGGGGGUAGGGGCAUGCGGAACUUCCGGUGGAGCGGUGAAAUGCGUAGAUAUCGGAAGGAACGCCGGUGGCGAAAGCGGCGUGCUGGACCCCUUCUGACGCUGAGGCGCGAAAGCCAGGGGAGCAAAGCGGG